rnacentral:misc_RNA from 1 species
GAUGAAGAACGCAGCGAAAUGCGAUAAGUAAUGUGAAUUGCAGAAUUCAGUGAAUCAUCGAAUCUUUGAACGCAUCUUGCGCCCCUUGGUAUCCCGAGGGGCAUGCCUGUUCGAGCGUCAUUUCACCACUCAAGCCUGGCUUGGUGUUGGGCGACGUCCCCUUUGGGGACGCGCCUCGAAACGCUCGGCGGCGUGGCACCGGCUUUAAGCGUAGCAGAAUCUUUCGCUUUGGAAGUCGGGGCCCCGUCUGCCGGAAGACCUACUCGCAAGGUUGACCUCGGAUCAGGCAGGGAUACCCGCUGAACUUAAGCAUAUCAAUAAGCGGAGGA